rnacentral:rRNA from 1 species
AGCGUUGCUCGGAAUCACUGGGCGUAAAGCGCACGUAGGCGGGUCCUUAAGUCCGGGGUGAAAUCCCGGAGCUCAACUCCGGAACUGCCUUUGAUACUGGGGAUCUUGAGUCCGGAAGAGGUGAGUGGAACUCCGAGUGUAGAGGUGAAAUUCGUAGAUAUUCGGAAGAACACCAGUGGCGAAGGCGGCUCACUGGUCCGGUACUGACGCUGAGGUGCGAAAGCGUGGGGAGCAAACAGG